UAACGUCAAACUGUUACAACUGGGUUCUUUAUUUCUAAUAACACAAACUCAUUUUUUUAUAGACAGAGAUUUACUUUGGGACCCCAGGACUUCAUUCUAAUGGUGAUGCUUGAUUUUGCUCUCCCUCUCCAUUUCAGCAGCUGUUGAUUCAGGAAACUUCGUAGCUCUUCAGCACACAGCUCUCUGUCUCUCUGUUUUCACAUACAGAUGCUCCUUGACUUAAGAUGCAGCUACCCAACAAGCUCGAAUUAAGUUGGAAACAUUGUUAGGAGAAAAUGCAAACCCGUCUGAUGCACCUGGUCUGCCAAGGUCAUAGAUUCGCAGUGUUCUGGGGCUGAGCGGGAGCUGCUGGUGUCCAGCAUCUCAAGAGAGUUUUGUACCACAUAGCUCUAGUUUGGAAAAAGAUCAACAUUCAAAAUCCUGGGUGUGAUUUCCACUGAAACGGUACCACUGUGGCUCCACUGUAGUGUUGAAAAAUGGCACUGAGUUGGCGGUUACAAAGGAUACAGGAUACUCCUUUAGAUCUGUGAUGAUAAAUCUCCUCUAAAUCUUCUCCAGGAGACGCCUUCAUCUCUUCAUUCCGUGGCUGUCGGGGGCCCGAUGCGGCAGGCCUGUGAGGACAGAGGGUUACUCACGUCCCCAAGCUCGCUUACAGUGACCCAUGGCGGACCCUGGAAUCCUGCGGAAGUCCUUGCUCUUGAGGAGACCUUGGGUUCCUGCCCCGGGACCCAGGGUCUGCUCCUGAGAGGUCUGUCUGUCCCUGGGGAAGUGGGCGAAGGGCCAGGGGGGACACACAAGGCUGUCCCAGCGGGGUGUCAACACCCAGCUGCUCCUGCUCUCCAUCUCAGGACUCCUCGCUGGGUCCCGAGGCGAUGAGGUGCACAAAACAGACUCUGGCGGCAGCCGGAGCCUGUGCAGGAACUUGGAGUGCAGGAGGCAGGAAGCGGACUGGGGGUCCUCUCAGCAGGAGCUAUGACCCCCGUGCCAGCCUGAGAGGGUUAGGGCUGUCCCGGCCCUGGACCAGGAGAGCCCCCCCAGCCCGCACACUGGAGUUCAGUGGUGACGGCUCCUUGUCGCCUGGCGCUUUCACUGUGGGGCUUGCGGUCCAGCCACGUCUAGGACGCUACAUCUGCACCACCGUCACCCGUGUGACAGGUUUGCCAGGGCCGAUAUUGGUCGGCAACCCCCUCCUCCUGUCCUUCUCGGCGCCUGCCCUUCAGAGGCUGACUUCCGGUCCUGAGCAGGCCCUGAAUCUAUCACAGCAGCAGCGGACUGCGCUGGACACUGGGCUAGGGGUUGAUCAACAUCACCUCACUUGUGGAAAUGGGCGCAAUGCUCUUUUGUUUCUUUGCAUGUCAUUUUGUUUUCCCAGAAGUGGAAAUGGUGGCUCAGAAAGGUUGAUAAUUUAUCCAAGGUCACACAGCGACAUAUGGUGAGACCAGGAUUCUGACCUAAGCGUUCUGCUUUUGGAGCCUGUGCCAUUAAAUCUUGCCGCGAUUUGCAGCAGGUGCGCAUUAGACUUCCAGGCUGGGUGGAUUUGGAUAAGAAUGUGUUCCUCAUUAGCGAGGUUGAAUAAUGUCAGACGUGGUGGAGCAGCUUGAAACGCCCAGCUGAACUGAGUCGUGGUGGUUUGGGUGUGGAAGGCCCACCUGAGAAUUGCUGCCAAUGACGCAAAAGAAGACCUGGAGGGGAGGAGUGUGUGUUGUCGAUUUUCCCGGAGAAGCUCACCACAACUGGUUUUCCUGAUACAAACUCAGCCGUUCUCUUUGACUGAGGAGUUUGGAUCUUUGCUGUCACAGGGAAUAGCUGCUGCUUUCUUUGCGGGAGCUUUAAUCUUCACGGUGAGCAUCGCUUCCUGGCUCCAGUACAGAUCCCUCAUCCCGGUGGCCCAAACCCUUCACCCAACUGGUGCAGACUUUCUGGCUUCCUCCACGGGCCUUUGGGCCUUCUCAGUGCAGAUCCUCCGUAUGGACUUGCAUGAGGACAUUGCUGUGGGCUCCAGGCCUCUGGCUGGACUCGUGGAGGACAUCGUCUUGGGCUCUAGGUCUUCAGCUGGACUUCUGCAGGACAUUGCUGUGGGCUCCAGGCCCUCAGCUAGAUUCUUCCGGUCUCUAAUGUGUGAAGAGAUCUCUUGCUCUCCUUUGCAUUUGACUUUUGGGGUGGCUAUUAUAAAAUAGUCCCAUAAAUGAUGUGUCCUAGAUUAAAUCUAUUCCCUUGCAAACCCUGACUACGAAAGCAGAUUUAAAACAGCUUUGUGAAUUUACCUGGAGCAGGCUGUC